rnacentral:lncRNA from 1 species
CUCCUUCACCCGGCCGGCUUCCAGGGGUGCGCUCCCGGCGUGGAGGAGUGCUGAGGAGAAAGGGGAGAUAAGACAAAAAAAAACGCGUUUGCGGUUUCCUCCCCGUCUGGAAGGUGAGUGUUCACUGAAGUGCUGCUGCUCUCUCCUCUCUCCUCCUGCAGCGCGAGGGUCAGAGCGUCGCCGCGCAGCGCGUGCCUCGGUGGAGCGACGGCGAGUCGCGCGGCCCCUCGGCCCGCUGCUGCCUUUCCCGGGAUCUUGGGCCUCUCCGGAGUAGUUCGGCCCUGCCUGCAGUUCUGCGCCCGUAGUGCUGCGAGCUGAUGAGACGCUGAAGCACCAGCCUGGCCGCAGGCUUCCUCCAGCGCCCGUUGCCCGAGCAGCGGCGCGGCCCGGCCGGAGCAGCACGGCGGCUGCUGGAGAUGUCCACGUCUCCAGGAUACUGAAUUGCAACAGAAGAUUCAACUUGAAGAAAAGCAGGAGUUGUGCAGAGUUGCACUUGAAAAAGGAUCCACUGUGGAAGAGGCCGAUGGUUUUUGUGGGAUCACUACUUCUGUUAGCCUGUUUCUGACAACUGACCUCAUGGAAGUGUGGCGUGGCGUCACAGCCCGGAAAGUGGAUGUCAUAUUGACUCACAGUCAGAUACCUGAUAGAUUUUAAUGGGUUGUGCACUUGAUCUCGCUACAGCAGUUCUGGUUGAAUGCCCUGCAGGUGCCCUCGCCUGUUCAGUCGGUGCCGGCCUGGGUAGGGACCGCUGCUGCCGAUGACGUGGAGUGGAAGGAUGUGCAUGCAUGUUGGUGUGUGUUUUGAGUGGGAAACCCUUAAAGUAGCUUUCACUGUGCCAUGUAAAAGUUACUGAAAGGCACAGCCGUGCACUCUGUGUGCAUACAGCUGUAAGAGUAGACACAAUAAAGCGUUGCCGAGUGGAUUUAGGGCUCUGCUC